UACAGGGGGUGCAAGCGUUGUUCGGAAUUACUGGGCGUAAAGCGCACGUAGGCGGACUGUUAAGUCGGGGGUGAAAUCCUGGGGCUCAACCUCAGAAUUGCCUCCGAUACUGGCAGUCUCGAGUGCGGGAGAGGUGAGUGGAAUUCCCAGUGUAGAGGUGAAAUUCGUAGAUAUUGGGAAGAACACCAGUGGCGAAGGCGGCUCACUGGCCCGUAACUGACGCUGAGGUGCGAAAGCGUGGGGAGCAAACAGG
rnacentral:rRNA from 1 species